GGGAAAGUUGAAUAGAUUGACAGAGAAACAACAGAAUAAUAGAGAGACUAAAGUGUGAAAAGCCAGAGAGACAAUUGAUUGAACAGCCUGUAAUGACUGACCGAGAGAGCGAGAGGGCGACAGAGACCAGUUCGAGGGUGGUUGGAUAUCAGAGAACAGCUUGAAAAAAAAUGAAAAAGCAAAGGAAGUUGGGGGGAAAUGGAGAGACAAAGAAAGAGGUGUGUUCUGUGUUAUCAGCCAGCCCUGGCUCCGUGGACCCCGAGCCAGACCGACGCUCCUGCGGUGGACAAGUGGUUUAGGCAUGCAGAAGAGGUCUGGAACGAUGCCCACGUGACGCUCCAGCGUGCCUUCCACCACCAGAAGGAGCAGGUGGAUCGUCACCGCAGUGAGGCUCCUGGGAUUCAUCCUGGCAAAUCAUGUCUGUCUCUCCACUAAGAACCUCCUGCUGUCACGUCUACUCCCGCUCCAGCAGGCAAUGUCGCUGGUUUACUAACAAUCGGUCGUGGCUACCCGUCUUGAAGCACAUCUGGUAACCCUCGUUACGCACACCUGCGUCUCAUCAGUCACAACUGGACUUCAUUACUCACCGUUUAUAUUGUACUCUUCUGUUAGUAGUCGUCAGGUAGUAUUGUGUGUUUCCAUGUCAAAUGCUUCUCUUGUAUCCUUCUCUUGUAUGUUCAUUAUUAAACUCACGAACUGCACU